rnacentral:rRNA from 1 species
GAUGAACGCUGGCGGCGUGCCUAAUACAUGCAAGUCGAGCGAACAGACGAGGAGCUUGCUCCUCUGACGUUAGCGGCGGACGGGUGAGUAACACGUGGAUAACCUACCUAUUAGACUUGGAUAACGGCGGGAAACCGGAGCUAAUACCGGAUAAUAUAUUGAACCGCAUGGUUGAAUAGUGAAAGACGGUUUUGCUGUCACUUAUAGAUGGAUCCGCGCCGCAUUGGCUAGUUGGUAAAGUAACGGCUUACCAAGGCAACGGUGCGUAGCCGACCUGAGAGGGUGGUCGGCCACACUGGAACGGAGACACGGUCCAGACUCCUACGGGAGGCAGCAGUAGGGAGUCUUCCGCAAUGGGCGAAAGCUUGACGGAGCAACGCCGCGUGAGUGAUGAAGGUCUUCGGAUCGUAAAACUCUGUUAUUAGGGAAGAACAAAUGUGUAAGUAACUAUGCACGUCUUGACGGUACCUAAUCAGAAAGCCACGGCUAACUACGUG